UACGUAGGGUGCAAGCGUUAAUCGGAAUUACUGGGCGUAAAGCGUGCGCAGGCGGUUUUGUAAGUCUGUCGUGAAAUCCCCGGGCUCAACCUGGGAAUUGCGAUGGAGACUGCAAGGCUAGAAUCUGGCAGAGGGGGGUAGAAUUCCACGUGUGAGCAGUGAAAUGCGUAGAGAUGUGGAGGAACACCGAUGGCGAAGGCAGCCCCUGGGUCAAGAUUGACGCUCCAUGCACGAAGCGUGGGGAGCAAAC
rnacentral:rRNA from 1 species